AUGUCUGGCAAAUCUUAUUGCACAAUAAAUAUCUUGGCCAAAAGUCUGUGUGAUGCGGAGCUUCCUCCAGUCAUCCCCAUGGACAUGUCAUCAUCACACAAGGCACCAGGUGGACCGAUGAUAAGGUCUUGUGCAAGAGCUAUCAAAACCAAAGUGAACUCCCUCCUUGUUCAACUCCCUCUCGGAUCACAUGGAACAUGGCUACUACCUCAAUCGGAGACAUUUUGCGUACUCAGGUAUCAAGAAGCCAGCCAUGGAGAAGCUAAGGAUCAAGGCCAAGAGAUGGAGAAAGAAGAACGUGAAGACGGAGAGCGGACGGGACAAGUCUGCACUUACCCGGAUGAUCCGGACCUUCCCCUGGAUGAUCUGGACGAAGCCCGGACGAUUCGGACCCCCUCCCGAACGGUCCGGCUAGAGCGCUCGAAGACAACCGUAGCCUCUCCACUUGAGAAUUGUCGGGCUAUGUUACUUGUGCACUUUAGUGAUACAUACGCCGCAUAG
rnacentral:rRNA from 1 species